CAGGCCAGGAUCUUCACUUGACCCUGUAGUGCCAACACCUAGUGCUGUUCCAAGCACAUCAUCAUCAUUUGCUGUAUACUUCAGGAAUUUUUUAAAAAAUGAAUGCACAUGGAGGGUAAGUUUGGGGUGGACAAAAGGGUGAAUUUGACCAGCCCCAGCCCACAUAUGGUACCUUGGUGCUACUACAUUCCUGCUGACAGCAUCUCCUCUCCCUUCUCAGCUACUCCUCUCUAGAAUGAGGUCCCCUCUGGUCUCGAAGCCCUUUGGAGACCUCCCCCCAGCACACACAAGAGGUUCACCUGUCCUUGGGUCCCCACUCGUCUCUAACCUGGGCUCUGGGUUGCGUCUCCCAUCUGCGUACGUAUGGCGCCCUGCAGGGGAGCGAGUCCUGACUCACCACCUGACUUAGCGAAGAGGCUCAGCUCAGAUAGGUGGGGGUGGGGUGGGGGCAGGAGCCAGACCUGGGCCAGCCAGACCUGGCGUGGGUGGGAAGGUCAUUUCUUUCAUCCGUGAGAGGUCACGCCUGUAGCUGGGCCGUGUGGGGCCAUCUAGGAGUGGGGGCGGGGGGACUGUGCAGUGGUUCUCACCCACGGUAUGUUGUCCCCCUCUCUGAGUGGCUGAGCGCUUUGAUCUCCAGCCACACAAGGCGGGUACGAUGGCAGUCACCCAUGUCCUCGGCAGGGCAGCAGGCUGGAUUCCAGGAAUGCCCUGGGCUCCGGCCUGACCUUAACCGUCUAGGCCUGCUGCCACCAGGACACCUUCCACCAGGACGGGGAGUGCCUCCCUCCCCAGGUCAGGCUCCCCAGCCUCCAAUCUGGCCAAGAAUACCUCUGAGAGGGAAGUUGAGGGGCUUGAAAGAGUGAGCAGAUGAGAGGACCCUAACAGUGUGAGAUGAAGAUCCACAGAAAUGCAUCCUUCCAGGCACUUGCACAGCCUACUUCAAACAGACAGCCUUGUGGGGUUGGAACAUGGGUUUCUCUGACUACGACUUCUGGGGCCCCAGAAGCAAGGAUUUCACACUCUUCCUAACCUUGAAUAUAAACCAGUGGGGGGAAACGUUGCUACAAAUCACACCUUCUUUCUUGAAAGAGUUGACCUGGUGGGUAGGUUUCUGGAUAUAAGAAGGUUGGAUGGGAGAAUAGAGGAAAAACACCCUGGGAAGAUUUGAAUACUCAUUCGGCUGGGCAGAGAGGAAGCUGGCUUCCCGGAGUCAGUUAAGGAGGGGAAGGCGGGAUGGGAAGGGAGGAACAGGAGGGAGCAAGACGAGUUAGCCACGGGCGAGGGAGUGGGGUGGGGGUGGGGGUGGGUUGACUAAUGAGAAGUCCCAGGUGACAAGACAGCCAAAAUAACUUUUCAGAACAUUUCAGAAAUGUGACUUCAAAUUGUUUGUGGUGUGAUGUCAUCUUUCCCCUGUGGCCCACAAACCUUCAUUAAAAGUUCUGCUACAUGUUACGGCAUUAUUUUUGUGCUUGUUUUGGAAUAGACGGGGCGGGGGCGGGGUGUGAAAAGGAGAAAGAACUGUGUUCCACGUCUGAAUUGACGGCAGGAACUAAAGAAACAGCCACAAGACCAGAAGAGUGACUAAAACUUCAGAUGAGGCAGAAACUAAAGCCAGAGGUAGCCUUGAAAAUCUAAGUCCCCCCAAUAAUCCACAGAAAUCCGGGGGCAAAGGGGGCGCACUGGACUUUCCACAGGACGUGGGAGUUUGAGCCAAUGUCAUCUGAAUGUCAAAGGACAAGCUACCUCAGCUGACAUUGCCUCACCAGCUGAACUAAGUCUUACAAAACAUAAAACGCAUUACACACAACAGUACUGUCCAGGGCCGUAGCACAGGGGUGGCACAUAGUUGAGCCCAGGAAAAGC
rnacentral:lncRNA from 1 species